rnacentral:tRNA from 1 species
UGGAUCACCUCCUAACAGGGAGACAACAAAAUGUUUAAUAUUAUUAUUUUGUCACCUUAGGUCGAUCGGUAUCUCACGUUCUUAAUUUGUUAAGAAUUUCAUUUCCUAAGUUUUUCUAGGUCACACCCAUUAUUUUUCCUGGGCCAUUAGCUCAGGUGGUUAGAGCGCACCCCUGAUAAGGGUGAGGUCCCUGGUUCAAGUCCAGGAUGGCCCAUAUCUCUAUGUUGGGGGUAUAGCUCAGUUGGUAGAGCGCCUGCUUUGCAAGCAGGAUGUCAGCGGUUCGAGUCCGCUUACCUCCACUGAUUACCACCUCUUCCAUAACCGGUAGAAAGGAAAUGUUUUGAGUUGUGAUCAUUAUUCUGAACGAAUCUAGCUUCCUAAUGAAACCAUUAAGAUGCUGGACUCAUUGAAUUAAUUUCAUUGUUUUCAGAGAACCUUGACAACUGCAUAGAUUUUUUUAAAGACAAUAAGCAUCUUUAAUGAUGCAGAUUUAUUAUUUGUGCGAAUGCAUUAAUAACAAUUCUAUUAAGCUGAUGCUUCAAUUUUUGAAGUUAUUGGUCAAGCUACAAAGGGCUCACGGAGGAUACCUAGGCACACAGAGGCGAUGAAGG